rnacentral:rRNA from 1 species
GACAGAGGGUGCAAACGUUGUUCGGAAUUACUGGGCGUAAAGCGCGUGUAGGCGGCUAUGUAAGUCGGGCGUGAAAUCCCACGGCUCAACCGUGGAAGUGCACUCGAAACUGCAUAGCUAGAGUCCUGGAGAGGAAGGUGGAAUGCUUGGUGUAGAGGUGAAAUUCGUAGAUAUCAAGCGGAACACCGGUGGCGAAGGCGGCCUUCUGGGACAGUGACUGACGCUGAGACGCGAAAGCGUGGGGAGGCAAAC